GGAAGGGCAGGAAAGAGAAGAACAGUUAAAAGUUAGAUCAUUAUUUAGAAUGGUGGUACCAGUCUGCCUGAAUAUCAGAAAUUCCUGGAGAGUAUUUGAAAAAUACAGAUAUCUGCUCCUCAAGUCAUGAGGCUUUGAUUAAGAUGGUGUAGUGACACAUAAGACUCCUAGAUACAAAAAAAAAAAAAAAAAAAAAAAAAAAAAAAAAAAUCCAAGGUAGACUGUGAAGAUGGGAAUGGAGACUCAGGACCCAGCUCGUGUCUUUAUUAUUCGUUCUGUUGACCGCAGAUACUGUGUGGUACCAGCAGAAGCAGCACUGAACACUGGCGAGGCGGAGGCAAACACAAGGCCUAAAUAAUCAUGCUGGGCUCAUUUGAUGGUGUGUGCCUAUAACGCCUAUAAUGGGAGGUAGAGGCAGGAGAGUCAGACGUUCAAGGUCAUCCUUGACUGUAUAGCCCUAUCGAGGACAGCUACGAGAAUCUGUCUCAAGUAAACAGAAGAAAUGCAGCCCAAUGGGCCACUCUCUGAAAUCCUCCGUGUGGUUUCAGGUCUGAACCAAGGCUAACACUAAGACCAAUCAGGUUGAGGAGAGGAAAGUGAAGUCGGAGAGAGAGGAAAAUGACCCAAGAAUCUGCUGGACUACUAAUUUUGUUUAAAAUCAUUUUGGCACUUAAAAGGACCCAAGGGACCACCUGCUUUUGUUUUCACAGUUGAGUAACUUUAAACUCAGAGGAGUUAAACGAUGAGCCUUCUGAGCGUGUAGCUAUUCAGGACAGGGCCGUAAAACCCAGUGGCUGGCCUUUUAUAACACUGUCUAUGUUCAUGUGAAAACCUCAGCAGACAUCUUCCCAAUCCAAGUUCUAAAAGAAAAUAGUCCCCUGGCAAGAGUCCUUGUAAAAGAAAAGGACCAACUUCUCCCAGGGAGCUAAUCCUACUGUGAACUUAACCAGCUUCCCUGCUUAGUCAGUUCCUGAACUCUGCAGCCCUGUAGGGAGAGAAAGCAGAAAAGACAGAGUGGGUCCUGGUCCAUUUCCUCCCUAAAUACAGUAGUUCUAAGGUCAAACACUUCCAUCACGAGGAGGUAAUGGCAAUGAGCAUGUGUGAAAGAAAGUCGUAAAGGAAGAGCAGUGGACUUAAACACUCUUCCCUGAUCUGCAAGGAGAAAGUGCAGCCAGCAGUCUAGGGGAAGACAAAAGCCAAGCCUUACUGGAAUGAGAUUCUGGGUGAUGCUUGAUCCUGGAAUUCUUCAAAAGUCUGACAAUAACAAGUUUUGAGAAGAUCUGAUCAACAGGAUCCCUUAUAAGUGGCUGAUAAAGUAGAAACCGGAAAAGCUAUUUUGGAAGUCUGUUUGGAAUAAUUUUCUAAAGUUGAAUAUUCACAUACCCAGGGCAGAUUCCAUUGCUAAGCUCAAUCUUUUACCAUAUGCACUGGACACAUACAUGAACCUGCCCAGCGUGGCACUCUUCUAACAGAAAGAGUCUGGAAGCGCGUUGGGGGGGAUGAAGUCUGUGCUGGCCAAGUGCCAGGUGGGAGUUUGGCUUCUCAGACCUCAGGUAAAGUGUCAGGAAGGUGUGAUGGUGACUUGCACAGCCAGAGCUCAGGAAGUGGAGGCAAGAUUCCAGGGGCAAGCUGCCUAGCCUUUGAAGCCAAACUGUCAGGCUGUGGGUCCCAACAGAUUCCCUGCCCACAUCAAUGAACUCUACAGUGACCAAGGAAGACACUCAACUUCAACCUUUGACUUCCACACGCAUGUAUACAUGUGUGCAUGUGUGAUCACACAAGCAUGUUUCCCACAUGAGAACAUGGAUAUAUACAAAUGUAUGUACAUCACACAUACUACACAAUACAUACAUAUAUAUGUAUAUACAUAUAAACACACACAUACAUUUACUUGUCAAAGAAUAUUUGGGUUAUAUGUAGAAUAUAUAGUCAUAUAUAUAAUUCAAAUUACAUAUAUUAUUAUAUAAUUAUAUAUAUAUAUUCCAAAUAUUCUCUAACAAGUGACUAGAGAAAGUGUGGUAUUGUCACACAAUGGUGCUAUAAGGCUGAGACAUAAAAUGAAAUGUCAGUGUACACAUUUCCUACAAGUGAUUCUGAGCAAACUAAUGUUG
rnacentral:lncRNA from 1 species